rnacentral:lncRNA from 1 species
GUGAUCUAAGAUAACGCCCACGCGAGCCAACCCGAGUAAGUCCUGAACCCACCUUAAAAUUCAUCUCUCAUGAUUCUCGCGAGAGCAAUCUCAGAAAUGUUCUGUGUCUUUCCCCGAAACCCGAGACGUGUGCUGCCCGAUCAUCUAGAUCCAAAGGGCGACAUCGAGGUACCUAACUAGCUUGUCGACUCCAUUGGCAACUUACUACCUCUUAGUCGGAUCGUUCUUGUUUGGCUAGUUUCUUCUUUUAUUAUUUGCUUUUAUUCCUUGCUUUCAUUAUCUUUUCACAUUUUAUUUAUGGCUUGUGUGUUCUGUAACCC